rnacentral:rRNA from 1 species
GGRKGAUSGAARGWUGAAAAGCACUUKGGAAAGAGAGKUAAACAGUACGUGNAAAUUGUUGAAAGGGAAGCGCUUGCAACCAGACUUGCAGGCGGUCGAUCAUCCGAGGUUCUCCCCGGUGCACUCGAUCGUCUUCAGGCCAGCAUCGGUUUCGGUGGCGGGAUAAAGGCUCUAGGAAUGUGGCUCUUCGGAGUGUUAUAGCCUAGGGUGCAAUGCCGCCUACCGGGACCGAGGACCGCGCUUCGGCUAGGAUGCUGGCGUAAUGGUUGUAAGCGGCCCGUCUUGAAACACGGACCAAG